rnacentral:lncRNA from 1 species
GGAAGAGCUCAUUAUGUAGUCAGAAAAUCUACCCUGCCCCAGAGAGCUCUCUCGAAAGAUGAUUUCCGACAUUUACGCCAGGAACUGGCAGACAGGGCCCUAGCUGAGGCCAGUUCCGCGGAUGUUCAGGGGUUAAAUCUCGGCAACUCCCCGCCCCCACCCCACCCCACCUCGCCGCUCCCGCCUCGCGCGUGCGCGCGUGCGAGGCCUCGGGCCAUAGAGCUAAGCAAGCCUCCCAGAUUCCUAGAGCGGACAGCGCGAUGGCGGGUUUACCGGGUGGGAGGCUUGACGACGACCUGGAGAACACAUCAAGAGGAUGUUUUUGCUGGUCUAGUCUCAGAAAUUAUAUCUUCAGUCUCUGCAAUGAUUCCCUUCCAAGUCCAAUGGUGCCCAGUUGCCUCCAGGCCCCAGACUUCUAUGUGAACAAGAAAAGCUCACUGAGGAAAUGGUAAUUCUUCAGUUGCUCCCUGAGAUGUCAUGUCCAGUUGCUGUCUAUGGAGACUCAGUUCAGUUAUGAGUCUUAAAAACACCUGUCAGGUGAGAAGCAGUGUGUAUCUUUUUUAAUGGUUGGGGGAGGGGGCGGUUUGGGGUUACCUUACUAUGUUAGUAUCUUCCGGUGCUGUUGGUAUUUCUCAUUGCCAAUGCCCUUCCCUGUAUUAGGCAGUACUAUCUCUUUUUUCACAAAAGAAAAAACAUUGUUUUGUGUUCUGAGCUCCUGGCUUUAUUGUACAUUCUUGCAUAUGUAAAUUUACAUAUUGUAAAUUCUCCUGGCAUUCCUUCCUCUCCUCCAUUUUUCCUAUUAUAAUCACCUUACCACCAAGCUGUCAGUAUUCUGUAUUUCCCCGGGGGAAUACUACCUGUGAACUAAUCAAAGAAGCCUUUGCCCUCAGGGAGUUUACAUUCUAGUUGCAGGAAAAGGAAAUAUAUAAAUAUACAGUAUACUAUCCGUUGUGGCUCAGCUGGUAAAGAAUUCACCUGCAGUGCUGGAGACCUGGGUUCGAUCCCUGGGUUGGGGAGAUCCCCUAGAGAAGGGAAAGGCUACCCACUCCAGUAUUCUGGCCUGGAGAAUUCCAUGGACCGUAUAGUCCAUGGGGUCGCAAACAGCUGGACAGGACUGAGCGACUUUCACUUUCACUUAACUUUCACAGUAUAGUAUCAGAUACUGAUAAUGGUUAUGGAGAAUGUAUCAGAAUUCUGGCAGGAAACAGAUGGCUCAUUCAAACUGGAUAAUUCAGAUUUCAUGAAGAGGCCGGGAAGGAUUAUAGAAAUCAACAAGGGAUGGAGAAGAGCCUACACAAAGUCUAAGCUGAUAGAACUAUCUUCUGUCACCCAUUCCACAUUGCCUUACCUUCUGCCAGCAUCUCAGUGGCA